GACGAACGCUGGCGGCGUGCUUAACACAUGCAAGUCGAACGGAAAGGCCCUGCUUUUGUGGGGUGCUCGAGUGGCGAACGGGUGAGUAACACGGGAGUAACCUGCCCUUGACUUUGGGAUAACUUCAGGAAACUGGGGCUAAUACCGGAUAGGAGCUCCUGCUGCAUGGUGGGGGUUGGAAAGUUUCGGCGGUUGGGGAUGGACUCGCGGCGUAUCAGCUUGUGGGUGGGGUAGUGGCUUACCAAGGCUUUGACGGGUAGCCGGCCUGAGAGGGUGACCGGCCACAUUGGGACUGAGAUACGGCCCAGACUCCUACGGGAGGCAGCAGUGGGGAAUAUUGCACAAUGGGCGGAAGCCUGAUGCAGCAACGCCGCGUGCGGGAUGACGGCCUUCGGGUUGUAAACCGCUUUCGCCUGUGACGAAGCGUGAGUGACGGUAAUGGGUAAAGAAGCACCGGCUAACUACGUG
rnacentral:rRNA from 1 species